ACAUUUUUAUUAUACCCCAACAUAUGUGAUGCAUUCAAGGAUGUUACAUGAUGUAAUUUAAGCAAAGAUCUCAGACUGAUCUUUAUUCUGCAGCAAGGCUCAAAUGUUGGUGCAGCAGAUGCUGCAUCAGCUAUACAUAACAUCAUAGAGGUGCUCAACCAGUCGCUGGGUAAAACCAGCACGAGGCAGAGUCAGAAUCGGGGGCAGCGCUCAGGACAGUGCCAGACUGUGGACCAAGAGAUGGCCAGGUUUCAGCUUGCAGUCAUGACUGAGAACAAUGACAGUUACUAUUUGCAAUGCAGUUUUGUUCACAUGUAGCCUAUGCAUUUAUCAGAUACUUUUAUCCAAAGCAACUUACAUAAGCCUACAUAGAGUAGCAUAAGCAAUCUGUCACAGAAUGUAUAUAUUUGUUCUACUGUACAUAUUUUGAGUUACUAACUUUUGAUUUAAUCAUCUCUUGAAGGUCUUUCCCAGGAUUUUUUAAGUGGGGGUCCAAAAGGCGUUUACCCAGCUGUAGUAAACCAGUCAAGUUCAUAAAAGCUUGGAAACCAUUUGUGUUUUCAGCGUUCCUUUUAAAUAAAAAUGUAGAAAUGACCCCUUCAUCAGCAGAGGAGCUGCAACACAUGCAGGCUGGACUGGGGAAAUGACGUCUGUCAAUGACUGAUGAUUUGACUCAUUCAGAGGUUUCCAGCUUGUUUUGUGAUACCUUCCCCAAAAUGAAGUAGGCAUCUGGAGGAUGGCUCCUCUACAAGGCAUCUGGUGGACAGGGAAGGCGGCUUUUGAAUCUUGUUCCCCCGGAGUCUGAAGGAUACAGUGGCAGUACCAUCAGAUGUGCAACUGGAGGGGGGAAAACUAUGCUGUAUAUUGUACCGUUACAGGAUGAGUUUGAUCUUUCUCCU